rnacentral:tRNA from 1 species
GCCCAGCUAGCUCAGUCGGUAGAGCAUGAGAUUCUUAAUCUCAGGGUCAUAGGUUCGUGGCCCACGUUGGGCG